rnacentral:lncRNA from 1 species
AUUUUCAAAACAUCUGGAGCAAGAGACAAAUCCCAUCAGCUCAGUUCCAACAAUAUAUGCAGAUGGGCAACUGAUGGUCAGACUCCAGUGGUUCUUCAAAACUUUCUAGGAGGUAAACAAGAUGAAAGGGAAAGCACACAAAUUUGCUGGAAUUUGGAAAACACGAACCCUGGAAUUUGGAGGAGUCACUUCCACUGGAAAAUACUUUUAUAUUAUUUAUAGUGGCUACCAUUACUGUGCUCACUUUACAGGUGAGGUUCAGAGAUUUAUGUAACAUGCCAAAGGUCACACAGCUGGACACAGCAGAACCAAGAUUCAAAUCUGCACAGCAGUAAAUGAAACCAGCCCAGCUGCGUGCUCACCUGAAACUUAUUUUCUCCUUCACGUUCCAAACUCAUGACUUGCUUGUGGCAGAAAAAAAGAACUACUUCGGGGUCCGCAACCCCUGGCAGUGGACCGGUACCAGCCCAUGGCCAGUUAGGAUCUGGGUGACACAGCAGCAGGGCCAUUUCAGUCCACGGAGGAAUGGGACACAUAGGUGACC